AUCUUCCGCAAUGGACGAAAGUCUGACGGAGCAACGCCGCGUGAGUGAUGAAGGGNUUNNGCUCGNANAACUCUGUUGUUAGGNNNNNACACUUGAGGUAGUAACUGGCCUUGAGAUGACGGUACUUAACCAGAAAGCCACGGCUAACUACGUGCCAGCAGCCGCGGUAAUACGUAGGUGGCAAGCGUUAUCCGGAAUUAUUGGGCGUAAAGCGCGCGUAGGCGGUAAAAUAAGUCUGAUGUGAAAGACCCCGGCUCAACCGGGGAGGGUCAUUGGAAACUGUUUUACUUGAGUACAGAAGAGGAGAGUGGAAUUCCAUGUGUAGCGGUGAAAUGCGCAGAGAUAUGGAGGAACACCAGUGGCGAAGGCGGCUCUCUGGUCUGUUACUGACGCUGAGGUGCGAAAGCGUGGGGAUCAAAC
rnacentral:rRNA from 1 species